UUUGAUUUAUUUUUAAGCCAGGACUUUUUCUUGCCACUCUUCCACAAACAUACUUUUUUGUGCAAGGCCUUAGAGAUUGUGGAGCCAUAAAUCUCAUCUCUAGUUGCAGCCACUGACUUCUGCAGCUUACUCAGUGUGACGGUGUCACAGUAGCCUCUCUUGCAAAUGCUAUUAUUCUCUGGUGACUAAGUUUAGAAGGACAGCCUGAGCGUGGCAGUCUGGCUCGUUUCAUAUUCUUUCACUUAGCUCCGGGUUUGGUCUGUUGAAAAUCUACCACACCGUUGGACCUUACAGGAAGAGGGUUAUUUAUCCUUAUAAAUUCAUUGAAAACAGGCGAUCCUCCUAUUUUCUACAUCAACAAAAUUGGAUUGCUGAGGGGAUCUGAUCCCUGAGGGAAUCGGGCCUGCAGUCCUCGGAGUCGCCUGAUGCCAGUGGCCGGAGGUGGGGACGUCAUAAGGGGUGUGCGAGGAAGCAGAAGUGAGGCGAGCGGGCAGGAGUCCAUGUCAGGAAAAAGGCAAGCCCUAGCCGGCCGGCUCUCCCGUCUAAUAUGCUCUCCAAUGGACUCGGCGGGAGUACAGAAACAGACGGAAUCCCAGAUGUCGCCACUGAGCCAUUUAUUUAUUUAACAGAUUUUCCCCGAAGUAAUCGGACUACCAACCUACUGCCCUCUGCCGUGCCUAUUGUCUUCUUUAUUAUUUAUUGUAAUGCCUGCACUGUUCUGCGUACUUUAUGAAGUCCUGGGCAGGUCUGUAGUCUAGUGUAGUUUUUAUGUUGGUUUACGUAGUUCAGUGUAGUUUUUGUAUUGUUCAUGUAGCACCAUGGUCCUGAAAAAUGUUGUCUCUUUUUUUUACUGUGUACUGUACCAGCAGUUAUGGUCAAAAUAACAAUAA